AGAGUUUGAUCAUGGCUCAGGAUGAACGCUAGCGGCAGGCUUAACACAUGCAAGUCGAGGGGUAUAGGUUUUCGGACCUAGAGACCGGCGCACGGGUGCGUAACGCGUAUGCAAUCUACCUUUUACAGAGGGAUAGCCCAGAGAAAUUUGGAUUAAUACCUCAUAGUAUUAUUGAAUGGCAUCAUUUAAUAAUUAAAGUCACAACGGUAAAAGAUGAGCAUGCGUCCCAUUAGCUAGUUGGUAAGGUAACGGCUUACCAAGGCAACGAUGGGUAGGGGUCCUGAGAGGGAGAUCCCCCACACUGGUACUGAGACACGGACCAGACUCCUACGGGAGGCAGCAGUGAGGAAUAUUGGUCAAUGGGCGCAAGCCUGAACCAGCCAUGCCGCGUGCAGGAUGACGGUCCUAUGGAUUGUAAACUGCUUUUGUACAGGAAGAAACAUCUCUACGUGUAGAGACUUGACGGUACUGUAAGAAUAAGGAUCGGCUAACUCCGUGCCAGCAGCCGCGGUAAUACGGAGGAUCCAAGCGUUAUCCGGAAUCAUUGGGUUCAAAGGGUCCGUAGGCGGUUUUGUAAGUCAGUGGUGAAAGCCCAUCGCUCAACGGUGGAACGGCCAUUGAUACUGCAAGACUUGAAUUAUUAGGAAGUAACUAGAAUAUGUAGUGUAGCGGUGAAAUGCUUAGAGAUUACAUGGAAUACCAAUUGCGAAGGCAGGUUACUACUAAUGGAUUGACGCUGAUGGACGAAAGCGUGGGGAGCGAACAGGAUUAGAUACCCUAGUAGUCC
rnacentral:rRNA from 1 species